rnacentral:tRNA from 1 species
GGCGGCGUAGCUCAGUUGGUCAGAGCAAGCGGCUCAUACCCGCUGCGUCCGGGGUUCGAAUCCCUGCGCCGCCACCA